GAUCUUUAUAUAGUGUUUAUUUAAUUGAAAUUAGUUAAUUUUUAUUUUAAGUAGAUAUUAUAUUAUAUUGGGGUAAUAAUAAAAUUUAAUAAAUUUUUAUUUAUUAUUAACAAAGAUAAUUGAUUUUUUGAUCCAGUAUUAUUGAUUAAUAAUUUAAGUUACCUUAGGGAUAACAGCAUAAUGAUUUUUGAGAGUUCUUAUUGA
rnacentral:rRNA from 1 species